AAUAAAUUAGCUUCACACAGGCAUCUUCUAACUUGCCUGCCAUCUUGUGGGCUCUGAAAAAAGCAAAUACUUCAUGAGACCUCAUAUGGCCAUCACUAACAGCUGCCAAAUAAAGUGAUGCUGCAGCUCGUGCAUAACUUGUCCAUGCCUCUUGUGUGUCAGCUCUAUGCUGUACACUAAAAUGACUGCUAUCCUCUAACCCUUUUACUUGCUUAUUUGCUUCUCAGUCUUUUCUCGGUACAUCCAGUAUGACAUAAACAUAGUUACACUGUCACA